GCCAGUGUGGCAUAGUGGUUUGUGUGUUGUGUUCGACUACAACUCUGGAGACCAGGGUUCGAUUCCCUGCUCGGCCA